UGACCUCGGAUCAGGUAGGGAUCCCCGCUGAAUUUAAGCAUAAUCAAUAAGCGGAAGAAA
rnacentral:rRNA from 1 species